UAGUCUACUGGUCUGGGUGUUUGACUCCCAGCCGAAAGGUUCUGGGUUCAAACCCCAGCGUCCGCCA